CCAGAUUUUUUUUCAGCGCUAUAUAAACGGGUUGCUCAGUACACAUUAUUCAUCAUACAAGCUUUUUUGUUGUGAGUGCUAAAUUGACUAUCUACGGAAUCCUCAGAUUUAAGCAAUAAAUCGUCUACAGAUCCAUAGUGAUAAUUCAUAUACACAGAGAGCAACUGACGAAUUAAACAUGUGCAACGGCGAAAAGGGAGUAGCGGCGGCGAUGGCAGAGCGGCGUGGUCAGGGGACCAGCAGAGUUCCUAUUCACUUCCUGUUACGUCACUUCGGUGGCGUCUGUUGGAGUUAGGGAGCCAGACUGGAUUACACUAGGGUUUACCCUAGCAAACGAUGACGACAACUAUCAUCCACAGAAACCGAGUCAUAAAAACUUUGUCACGUGAUAGUCUGUCUUGUUGUUAUCAUGAUAACAACCAACAUGCAGUAGUUUUUAUAUAACAAUGUUGACAUGGUAUUUGUGUAAUGUAUAUUUAACAUGUAAACAGAUUAGUUUCAAAGUAUUGUUGUUGUCAUCAGUUUUUUAAUAAAUGUAUAUGCAUAUAAAAA